rnacentral:rRNA from 1 species
AUGGAAAUGCCAUGUCAGGUGCACCUAUCAGAAUCAGAACAAACCAAUUAAUAAAUCCACCUAUCAUCGUGGUCUAUAGGCCGACCGUACUUGUGA